UAUACGUUAUAUAUGCUAUGUACUAUAUUAGGACAUACUGGCUCUCCAAAUCUCAUGCUUCAGCUGAUGUUAGAGCUAGUUUACAUUCUAUACUUGUAAGGAUAUAACAGGUCAGCUUAAGCAUGCAAAAUACAGCCAUUGUUGAAAAAUUGCCAUAUAUUUUCUCUAGAAUUUAAUAAGUUGGGUCAAAAUGUAGUGCUAUGAAACUGCAUCUAGCAUUGGCCUUUCUUACAAAUUGUGCUAUCAUUACUGGAAAGCCAUCUGUUUUAAAAUGAGGUGUUACGUUUUGCUUAAACUCUUUUUCUAGUCUUUCUUUGAUACACAGAAUUCUAGGAAAGAGGCUGUUCUCUUGGCGAAACUGAAACACCCCAAUAUUGCUGCCUUUAAAGAAUCAUUUGAAGCUGAAGGACAUCGGUAUAUUGUGAUGAAGGGGACCUAAUGCAAAAGAUUAAACAUCAGAAAGAAAAGUUGUUUCCUGAAGAUAUGAUACUUAACUGGUUUGCGCAAAUGUGCCUUGGAGUAAAUCACAUUGACAAGAAACGUGUGUUACACAGAGAUAUCAAGUCCAAGUCCCAUGGCAUUUGCUUGUACAUACGUGGGAACACCAUAUUCUGUGCCCCCAGAAAUUUGGGAAAACAUGCCUUAUAACAAUAAAAGCUGCCCCGCAGGAGUGUGCAGAACCCUGGGGAACAGAAGCGUUUCCUAGAUAACACGGCUUGAGUCGUCAGGAAGGGGUGCGAGUACCCUGUUUCCGCAGCUCUGUGCUCCCCCGGACUGCCCGGCUUGAGUCCUUGCCCGCGGGCCCUACGGAGGAAUGGCCGGGAGCUCACGCCCACCGGAGGCCGCUGGGAGGACUUAGAGCGGACGGCAGCUGAACCCGAAGUCCAGCAGCCUCCUGCUCUGCCCGCGGCUCACGGACAGCAGGCGGCCUCGCCACCACAGGAGAGCCCGGCAGCACCCCAGGGGCGGCGGGGUCCACACCGCGGACUGGAUUGGUCACCCAGCAGAACGGCCACCCUGUCCCAUGCUACCACCCCCGGCCGCCGUCGCCCGGGGGUCUAGGGGCGUGCAGAGGUGUACAGCCUCUCCUGCCCAAGGCCGCCCAGGAGUCUGCCCCUUCACGGGUUGCCCACGAUGACCCUCCCGCCCCCAUUAGAACCGCCACUGCCACCCCCAGAAACCCUGAGCGUCAGCGCUGUGCUGAGGGCAAGCGGUUGCACCACCACCCACCACGCCUUCCUCCUCCCAAGCCACUGGCUUGUGGAGCCCCUUGGAGACUCGUCAUUAUUCUGCCCCGCUUUCUCUGGGAGUCUGACCCCUUGUUUUCUCCCAUUUCUCAAACACGUGCAGGGCAAGCCAACCCCAAAAUAUGUCUGGUUGGCUUCUUACCUAACAUACUCAAAAAAGACCCUGCCCCCCCAUUUCCGCAAAACACCCUUUUAAAUCAGUGACCCGAGAGGAAAGCCAUGUGUGAGGCCGAGGUGGGGACCAGCCCCAGCGGGGUGCGCCUGGGUCUGCACGCUCUCCUGCUUGCCUGCGCCUUUCCCUCCCUGACAGACAGUCAGGAGCUCUGUGCCUGCUGGCCUCACCUCUCUGUUCCUGGACUUCGUAUGUGGAUUUUUCCACAUGCCUGAAGCUUGAGGUGCUGAAAUCCUUUUGCCGUUUUCAGUGAAAAUCCUACCCAGAGUGUCACUUGCCUUCCUGCUGCCUUUUAAAAUGAGUCACUACUCAUAUCCCAACUUUUCCGUGGUGAUAUGAGAUCGCUAUAAAUACCUUCUGUGCUGUAGCUCUGUGUGGGUAACAAGGACAGCAUGCUGGUGCCACACACCCCAGGUGCUUCUGAGAAGCCAGUCCUGUUAGCACCACCAAUUAGCACACACUUCACUGCGAAAUACUUCUGCUUUUCCAAAAUGAUCACUCAGACCCCAGAACACAGCCUGAAAAAGGAGGCAGGAGCCAGGUUAUAAAGCGCAUGACAUUUAGACCCUGUCCUGUGGACAGUGGAGAAUCCCCAGGAGCUUUUAAGCACAGGACUUACAUGAUUAUAUUUAUGACUGAGAAAAGCAGUUGGGGCAGUCAGGAGAAUGAAGACUCAGAGGAGGAGGGUGACAGAGCUACCGGGAGCAGGGUGAAUAUAGCAGAGUGGGGCUAAAAAAUGCGGACGCCCCCCAGCAUCAGCAAUCACGUGGUCACAGCAGGCGCUUCAGAGGACCUGGUGGCAAUGCCGUUUCUGGUUUGGCAGAGAUGAGGAACGGGAAAAAAGUCUGGGAGUGAAAGGCGUAGAUCCUCCUUUGUUCCCACAGAAUCUCAGGGACCUGUGAUAGGGGCCAGGGCAGGAGCCAUUUUCCCAGGCUGGAGACUAAAGUCCAAACCCCUUUUUCUGGCACCUCCCCAUGUCUGACUGGGGUGGGAGGGAGGCACCAUCUAAUCCUCUUUAUCCUUUCAAUCCUGCCUCAGUGGACGUGUCUCCACUCACCCCAGUUGGCGUCCUCCCUCAUCUGAAUUCCAGCACCUCUCAAGUCAACACCCCAGGCCUGGCAGGUAGGAGCCCUCACCCCUACUACAGACAGGCCUCCUCCCUCCUCUAAGGCUGCAUUCCCAUCAGCCCUCCUGGUCACUGAGGCCCAGCAUGCACACCCCAAGGCACGUAUAAUAAGCCCUGAAAGACAAGGUUCUUAUGUCUUACCCAACCAGAGACUUCACACAGUGAUGAACAAAUAUCAGAUGUUAAAUAAAUACUGCUGAGUUGAACUACAGACAGAUCAGAAUGUUCCUUCCACCUAGAAUUUCAUGGUGUUUUUUUCCCCCCUUAUCACAGUACAAGGGGAAACUCCAUUGGUCUGCAGCUACAGGUCUUCAAGUGUCUCCCUGUGCUAAGUUACUUUGCUUCCCAAAUGUGCAGGUUUUAUCAACUCUUUUCCAAUUCAUCUUGUGUAUCUUCUACCAACCUUCCCAGUCUCUAUGGAUCUUUCCUGCAUAAAAAUAAAAGUAAAAAAAUAC